rnacentral:piRNA from 2 species
UUCAUGGGACCAGCUAGUGAUGCUGGCUAAC